rnacentral:rRNA from 1 species
GACAAGCACCGGCGGACGGCUCAGUAACACGUGGACAACCUGCCCUCGGGAGGGGGAUAACCCCGGGAAACUGGGGCUAAACCCCCAUAGGAGAUGGAUACUGGAAUGUUCCAUCUCCGAAAGUCCGCAAGGAGCCCGAGGAUGGGUCUGCGGCGGAUUAGGUAGUUGGUGGGGUAACGGCCUACCAAGCCUAAGAUCCGUACGGGCCAUGGGAGUGGGAGCCCGGAGAUGGACCCUGAGACAAGGGUCCAGGCCCUACGGGGCGCAGCAGGCGCGAAACCUCCGCAAUGCGGGAAACCGCGACGGGGUCAGCCGGAGUGCCGAUGCUUGCAUCGGCUGUCGGGGAGCCUAAAAAGCUCCCCAUAGCAAGGGCCGGGCAAGGCCGGUGGCAGCCGCCGCGGUAAUACCGGCGGCCCGAGUGGCGGUCACUAUUAUUGGGCUUAAAGCGUCCGUAGCCGGGUUGGGAAGUCCUCCGGGAAAUCUGGCCGCUUAACGGUCAGAAUGCCGGAGGAUACUCCCAGCCUAGGGAGCGGGAGAGGCCGAGGGUAUUCCCGGAGUAGGGGUGAAAUCCUAUAAUCCCGGGAGGACCACCUGUGGCGA